rnacentral:lncRNA from 1 species
AACAAUGAUGGUGCUGACUAUCCAGAAGUUGAAGAUAAACCUGAAGAACUAGCAGUUGAAGAAAAACAUGAAGAACAAGCAAUUGAAGAGAAGCCUGAAGAACCAGCAAUUAAGGAAAAAGCUGAUGAACCAGCAGUGCAAGAAAAACUUGAAGAACCAGCUGUGGAAAAGAAACCUGAAGAACCAGUGGCUACGGAGAAACCUGAAGAACCAGCAAUUAAGGAAAAAGCUGAUGAACCAGCAGCGCAGGAGAAACCUGAAGAACCAGCUGUGGGAAAGAAACCUGAAGAACCAGUGGCUACGGAGAAACCUAAAGAACCAGCAAUUAAGGAAAAAGCUGAUGAACCAGCAGUGCAAGAGAAACCUGAAGAACCAGCUGUGGAAAAGAUACCUGAAGAACCAGCAGUCGAGGAGAAAUUUGACGAACCAGCAGUUGGAGAGAAAUCAGAAGAACCAGUAGUUGAACAAACACCUGCAGGACCAGCAUGGGAAGAAACACCUAAAGAACUAGCAUUUGAAGAGAAACCUGAAGAACCAGCAGUUGAAGAAACACCUGAAGAACCAGCAGUUGAAGAAACACCUGAAGAACUAGCAGUUGAAAAGAACCCUGAAAAAACAGCAGUCGGAGAGAAACAUGAAAAAGUAACUCUCUUGGAAAAGGUGAGGAUCAAGCACAAUCACAAAUUUUAUCCAUCCUAUUAGUUAUGUAUGUGCAACAAUUCACAUCCGCCUGGUGGAAGAUUAAGUUAAACUUUAAUUCUUCUUGCAGAAUAUACCAAUUAUAGAGUUAAACGAGAAGAAUGACAGCUCAACUCCUUGCAAUACCAACAAUGAUGUUGCUGACUAUCUAGCAGUUGAGGAAAAACCUGAAGAACCAGCCAUUGAGAAAAAACCUGAAGAACCAAUGGCUAAGGAGAAACUUGAAGAACCGAAUGUUGAGGAUAAACCUGAAAAAUCAGUGAUAGAGGAGAAAUCUGAAAAACUAGCAACUGAAGACAUACUUGAAGAGCGAGCAGGGGAGGAAACACCUGAAGCACUAGCAGUUGAAGAGAAACCUGACGAAUCAGCAGUUGAAGAGACAGUUGAAGAACUAGCUAUUGAACAGAAAUCUAAAAAAACAGCAACUGAAAAAGAGAAACCUGAAGCCGUAACUCUCCUGGAAAAGGUGAUCAACCACUGUCACAGGGAUUCCUUGCUCUAUAUGUGCAAGGAAUUUACAUCUACUUAUCUAUUGAAAGAUUUAGUGAAACUUUAAAUUCUUCUUGCAGAAUAUGCCAGUUGUAGAUACAAAGGACGAGAUUAACAGUGAAAUUCCAUGCAAUGCCAGCAAUGAUGUUUCUGACUAUCCAGCAGUUGAGGCAAAACCUGAAGAACUAUCCGUUGAAAAAAAAUAUGAAGAACCACCAGCAGUUAUAUUGGAGAAACCUGCAGAACUAGCAGUUGAGGAGACACCUGAAAAAACACUAGUUGAAGAGAAGCCUGAAAACCCAGCAGCACGGGAAGAAACACUUGAAGAACCAGCAUUGGAAGAAACACCUGAAGAACCAACAGUUGAAGAGAAACCUGAAGAAGUAGUAGUUGAAGAAAAACUUGAUAAACCAGCAACUGAAAAAGAGAAACCUGAAAAGGUAACUUUCUGCGAAAAGGUGAGGAUCAAGCACUACCACAAAGUUUGCCAAUCCUAAUAGUUUGUAUGUGCAAGGAAUUCACAUAUGCUUAUUUAUUGAAAGACUAAGUGAAACCUUAAAUUCUUCUUGUAGAAUAUGCCUGUUGUAGACUCAAAUGGUAAGACUGGCAGUAAAAUUACAUGCAACACCAAUAAAGAUGUUGCUGAUAAUCCAGCAGUUGAGGAUGAAGAACCAGAAGUUGAGGAGAAACCUGAAGAACCAACAGUUGAAGAAAAACCUGAGGAACCAGCAAUGGAAGGAAAACUUGAGAAACUGGCAGUUGAAGAUAAACUUGAGGAACGAGCAGUUGAACAGAACCCUGAGGAAACAGCAGUUGAACCUGAAGAACCAACAGUUGAAGAAAAACCUGAAGAACCAGCAAUGGAAGGAAAACUUGAGAAACUGGCAGUUGAAGAUAAACUUGAGGAACGAGCAGUUGAAAAGAACACUGAGGAAACACCAGUUGAAGAAAAACUUGAGGAACCAGUAGUUGACAAAAAAGCUGAAGAACUAGCGGUUGAAGAGAAACUUGAAGAACCAUUAGUUAAAGAAAAGCCGGAAGAACAAAGCAGGGAAGUAACUGAAGCUCCCAUAAAAGAGGCAAAGCUUAACCAGAAUGCAAAUGAAGCAAGCAGCAGUCUGCCAACAGCUAUUCUAAGCCAUCCGCCUGCUCAAGGGACAACAAUGACCAACCCAAUAUUGGGAGAACCAAUUAGUAUUGACAAACCUAAAAACGUGCAACAGCUAGAUUCUCAAGAAAUAUCAGAAAUUGAUGAGGCAAUGCAGAGAGAUGAAGAUAACAUAAAGCAGAAGGAUGAGGCUUCUUUCACUGAAGAGCAGAAGUUUACACCACAGAGUGAGUAAUACUAGUUCACAGACAUGCUUUCCCUAUCCAAUUGAUUUUAUUUGCAAUGGAAAAUGGUGAUACUCUUUAGAGAACAGAUCCAAGAGAUUUAACCAUAGUAUCACUCGCAAAAAGUAGAAAAAACAAUUAUAAAAAUGGAACCAAUCUCUAAAAGGAAGCUGAAAUGGAGAGAAGCACCAGAGACAAGCGCCUUUCUGGUUUGGAGAAACCUUGAAAAAAUAGAAUGCACAUCCACAGUAUUUAGCAAUAAUGAUCAUCUAUCAUUACAUACAUGAACAUAAUUAAUUUAUUACUACAUGGAUAUAAUAAAGAAAUCCUAUGAUAUGCUGUUGCUAAGAUAUUAGGACUAGCAGCAUUCAUUAAGUCGUAAAUUGCUAUAUGAAUGUAACAAGCACCUUUUUGGGGGUUCAAAGAUUUCUAGUCACUUCAAUAAUGACUAGAUGUGGUAUUAACAUCUACUACCGACAUAUUGCAGGUGAUGAAAAUCAAAAUACUUCGACAGGGGAUAGUUUCUUAAAUAAGAACAUGUUCGCUGAAGGUGAAGCUGUGCACAUUAAUAGUCAAGAGGAUCUAAUCAGGCAAGAAAUUUCAGGAAGCACAAAAUCUGAGAUAAAUCCAAAUUCAAGUAAAGGAACAGAAAGUGAGGCAAGUGAUAUUGCUAAUAGAGAAGGAUCAAGCAGACUUGGUUAAGCAAAUAAUUUAGUUGCUCUUCAUCCUUAUUGUUCUAAACUUGAUGAGCUACUUGGUUAUGCAGGUAAACGAGCAUCCAGAAGGACCAGAAGUACCAAAACAAAGUGAUGAAAGGGGGAAAUGUAUAGUACAGAAGCAAGAAGAUUCUGUUCGCAACCAGGAAGAACUGUUUGUUGAAGAAAAAAUGAGAUCUUGUGAAGAGGUUGAAACAGAGGUAUUAAAUGAUCUGGCUUCUAUUAAUACUCUGAUCUUUCCUGUCCAUAGACUAAUGAUAGCCAAAACUAUAACUUCAAACAGAUAAGCAAACUUAAAGAUAUAAAUGCUGGUGAUGGAACAAAUAAAAACAUUAUGGAAAAAGAAGAAAAGACCCUGGACAAAAUUCUGACGUCCACCAAAGAAGAAAUUGGUACCAAGAACUCUGAAGAAGGCCAAGUGCUUUCAGAGAUUCCCAGUCAAGAGGUUAAGUGACCAUAGAAGCCUGUUCUUUAUUCAUAUAUGUAACUCGCAGAUAUAAAGAUGCGUCCUCUCUUUCUACUAAAAUCACUUAAAUACCCUCUUUUUCAAAUCUGCAGAACUUUCAACAAGCUAAUUUAAUCAGAGAUGAAGCUUUAUUGAAAGAUGAGCGUGGAAUCGAGAACUUCAUGGUAGUUUCUUCAGAAGAAAUUAGCUGUGAAGGCUCUAUUGAAAAGGUAAACGAAAUGAGAACCUGAGAAUGAAUCAGCCAAUUAACAUCAAGGCAUUCAUAUGGCAACCAUUCACUGAGGGUCUUAAGUUUAUUGCAUGCAUAUGAAUUCUCGUGCCACCUUGUCUUUCUGGAAGAAACAUUGAAAUUCAAGUCUGAAAGUAUUCGAAGUAUACAGUUCUUAGUAACUACUAACUACUAUAAAUUUAAAGUUCUCCGUACAAAACAAAAUAAGUCUUCACUUCCUUUCCCAGAGUUUUUGUUUAUUUUGUAGUUAUUGCAUAAAAUGGGAAGCAAUGCAUGAUAAGAUGAUAUAUACAAGAAAUAGAAAAUUAAUUCUCUGCUGAUAGAGUAUAUUCCAUUGCACAAAUGUAGACCAUCUUUGAUCUUUUAUUUGUUUAUUUAUUUAUUUUGUUCGAGGCUGUAACAAGUGAGACAUCCUAGUAUCAUUGGGAUUCUUAUGUGCGACUUUUGAAAAAUAAGCCGAAACAAAAAUUAGCCAAAUGCUGACAAAUGGGUAUGACUUAUUUUUCUGAAAAAGAACUGACCAUUGACAUUGCAAAUCGAGUAUUCCUUUGAGUCUUUGAAACAAUAAGUUGCAAGGGAAGGUUUAAGCAAAUUUCAAAUAUUGCAGCUAGAUGCCUUCAUGCAUUUAUUCUAAUCAUUUUAUUGGUUUUCUUCGGCAGACUCUUUAACAUUGACAAAAAGAAAGAGAUUCUUCUUGGAGAAUUAUCAGUUAAUAAAGGAAGAGGCAGUGGAAACUCUUUCUGGGAGAAAUUCCAAAAUAUGACCUUAAGAGAAUUCACAUGACGUUAAGCUAGAAACCAAGGACUUAAACCACUAGGCCACGGUAACUGUAUUUCAGUUAUAAACAGGAAUCUUGCUAAAAUUAUAAGUCCCAAACCUCAUCAUGUAGAUAUCUGUUAACUUGAUAUAGUGCUCGGCAGUUGACAAUUACUAAAACCACCUGGAGAUUAAGAUAUGAACACCUUCUUCUCUCGUUAGAAUGAUUCUUAAAUGCAUAACUCCUUGUCCUUUUCUCACCAGUGUAUGAAACAUACUAAACAAUGGUAGCACUCAAAAUAUUCUGAGCAAUCACGAUCAUUGUUGCAGAACAGUUGAGCAUGUGUAGUAAUCCUAUGCGAGAUGAAACCAAAAGAAUUUCACCAUCCUAUUAGUUCCGUAUGUGUAAGGAAUUCACAUCUACUUAGCUAUUGAAAGACUAAGUGAAACUUUAAAUUCUUCUUGUAGAAUAUGCCAGUUGUAGACUCGAAUGACAAGACUGACGGUGAAAUUUCAUGCGAUACCAACAAUGAUGUUGCUGACCAUCCGGCAGUUGCAGAAAAACUCGAUGAUUCAGCAGUUGAAGAGAAACCCAAGGAAUGGAUCGUUGAAGAGAAACUGGAAGAAACAGCCAUUGAGGAGAAACUCGAAGAACCAGCAGUUGAGGAGAAACCUAACAAACCAGCGGUUAAAGAGACACCUGAAGAACCUGCAGUGAAAGAAACACCUGAACAACCAACGGUUGAAGAGAAACCUCAAGAACCAGCAAUUCAAGAGAAACCUCAAGAACCAACAGUUGAAAAGAAACCUGAAGAACCAACAAUUGAUGAAGAACUUGAAGAGCCAACAGUUGCGGAGAAACCUGAAGAACCAGCAGUUAAAGAAAACCAUGUAGAACCAGAAGUUGAUGAAAAACGUGAAGAACCACAAGUUGAAGAAAAACAUGAGGAACCAGCAGUUGAAGAAAAACCUAAAGAACCAAAAGUUGAGGAGAAACCGGAAGAACCAG